rnacentral:rRNA from 1 species
UAGGGAAUAUUGCACAAUGGAGGAAACUCUGAUGCAGCGACGCCGCGUGAGUGAUGAAGGCCUUCGGGUCGUAAAGCUCUGUCGUAUGGGACUAACAAAAUGAAGGUACCAUGCAAGAAAGGAUCGGCUAACUUCGUGCCAGCAGCCGCGGUAAGACGAGGGAUCCUAGCGUUGUUCGGAAUUAUUGGGCGUAAAGCGGGUGUAGGCGGACUUAUAAGUCAGGUGUGAAAUCCCAGGGCUCAACCCUGGAAGUGCACUUGAUACUGCAAGUCUUGAGUGUGGUAGAGGCUAUUAGAAUUCUUGGUGUAGUGGUGAAAUACGUAGAUAUCAAGAGGAAUACCGGAGGCGAAGGCGGAUAGCUGGGCCAACACUGACGCUGAGACCCGAAAGCGUGGGGAUCAAACA